AGCGGAGGAAAAGAAACCAACAGGGAUUGCCCUAGUAACGGCGAGUGAACAGGCAAGAGCUCAGAUUUGAAAGGCACUUUUGUGCCGUUGUAUUCUGAAGUUAGGGUCCUGAGAAACGAUGCUUAAGUCUUCUGGAAAGGAGCGCCAUGGAGGGUGAUAGCCCCGUCUAGCAUUGACCUCAUAUAGGAUCUUAACAUGGAGUCGAGUUGUUUGGGAAUGCAGCUCAAAUGGGUGGUAUGCUCCAUCUAAAGCUAAAUAUCUGCGAGAGACCGAUAGUAAACAAGUACUGUGAGGGAAAGAUGAAAAGAACUUUGAAAAGAGAGUGAAAAAGUACGUGAAAUUGUUGAAAUGGAAGGGUAGGCCGCUAACCAUGUAGAGCCGUGUUUGGGGGGAAGAUAAAUGCUGUAGAAUGUAGCUCCUCGGAGUAUUAUAGAUGCAGUUCAUAUUCCCACCCGAGCGCGAGGAUCUCAGGUUCUACUAAAUGGUGGUCUACCACCCGUCUUG
rnacentral:rRNA from 1 species